UUUUGAGUUUUAACCUGAGGCUCACUAUGGAUAAUAUUGGGCCUUCCUAAAGCCUUUAUGUCAUAAUUCAAAGGGCCUCUAAAAAAUUGCUAACAAUGGAACCCUAGAAUCGCCGUUGAUGGCCGUCGCAUACGCCUCCGUUCGCUCUAUAAAUCAACUGUUGACUUGCUCUUUCAAAUCAUUCAUUCUUCAGAAUUGAAAAACAAGAAGAUGAUGAAUGACAAGAUGAAAGCUUUGUUGAUUGGAGUUGUAGGUGCAGGAAUCACACUUUCUGCCUAUUCACAAACAUACAUGACUCCAACUCAGUGUAUCGGCACUGGCCUUGUUAUACUAAUUGUAGGACUUUUUGUCGGAGAAGGUAUCCUUCCGGUCUAAUUUACUCUUUUUUGUCGUUCACAAAAAAGACUGCUUUUGAUCCUUCAUAGAUAUCUGUGUAUCUGUGGAGGGUCCAAGAAAAAAGGGACAUGUGUCUCGAUAUCCGGAUCUAGAUCCGUUGUAGUUUAUCUUUUUGUAUUUCUUUAGUUUGUAACCUUCAUGGUGAAUCAAGAUCCCUAAAAAUAUGUCAUGGAAUCAAAUUAUUAUUUUUCUUUUUCUAGUUGUAUGAUGACCGAUGAUAAAAUUUAAUUGUGUUUGGAAAAUACAAACAAUUCGAAUUGUUCA